AUUGCCUCAGUAACGGCGAGUGAAGCGGCACCAGCUCAAAUUUGUAAGCCGGCGCCCACGGCGUCCGCGUUGUAAUUUGGAGAGGCAUCUUCGGGCGGGCCGGCCAGCCCCAUGUUCCUUGGAACAGGACGUCACAGAGGGUGAGAACCCCGUUUGGCGCCGGCCGACCUGUUCAUCGUGAGUUGCCUUCGACGAGUCGAGUUGUUUGGGAAUGCAGCUCAAAAUGGGUGGUAAACUUCAUCUAAAGCUAAAUAUUCGUGGGAGACCGAUAGCGCACAAGUAGAGUGAUCGAAAGAUGAAAAGCACUUUGAAAAUAGAGUCAAAAAGUACGUGAAAUUGUUGAAAGAGAAGCGCUUGAGACCAGACUCGGCCGGCGGUGAUCAGCCGACCCCUCGUGGGCGGUGCACUCAUCGUCGGGCGUGCCAGCAUCGGUUGGGACGGCGGGACAAAGGCCUCGGGAAAGUGGCUCCCCUCGGGGAGUGUUAUAGCCCGGGCGCGAAAUGCCGCCAGCCCCGACCGAGGACCGCGCCCUUCCAGGCUAGGAUGCUGGCUUAAUGGUCUUCAGCGACCCGUCUUGAAACACGGACCAAGGAGUCUAACAUCUAUGCGAGUGUUUGGGUGCCAAACCCUUGCGCGUAAUGAAAGUGAACGGAGGUGGGAACCCGCAAGGGCGCACCAUCGACCGGUCCCGAUGUCUUCGGAAGGAUCUGAGUAGGAGCAUAGCUGUUGGGACCCGAAAGAUGGUGAACUAUGCCUGAAUAGGGUGAAGCCAGAGGAAACUCUGGUGGAGGCUCGCAGCGGUUCUG
rnacentral:rRNA from 1 species